GAUGAACGCUGACAGCAUGCUUAACACAUGCAAGUCAACUUGAACUUCGGUUUGGUUGGCGGACGGGUGAGUAACGCGUAAAGAACUUUCCUCACAGCUAGGGACAACAUUUGGAAACGAAUGCUAAUACCUGAUAUUAUCAUUUUAGGGCAUCCUAGAAUUAUGAAAGCUAUAUGCGCUGUGAGAGAGCUUUGCGUCCCAUUAGCUAGUUGGAGAGGUAACGGCUCACCAAGGCGAUGAUGGGUAGCCAGCCUGAGAGUGUGAACGGCCACAAGGGAACUGAGACACGGCCAUUACUCAUACGGGAGGAAGGAGUGGAGAAUAUAGGACAAUGGACCACGAGUCUGAUCAAGCAAUUCUGUGUGUAAGAUGAAGUUUUUAGGAAUGUAAAGUGGUGUCAGUUGGGAAGAAAAAAAUGACGGUACCAAAAGAAGAAGUCACGGCUAAAUACGUG
rnacentral:rRNA from 1 species